UACGUAGGGGGCAAGCGUUGUCCGGAAUCAUUGGGCGUAAAGCGCGUGUAGGCGGUUCGGUAAGUCUGCUGUGAAAGUCCAGGGCUCAACCCUGGGAUGCCGGUGGAUACUGUCGGGCUAGAGGUCGGUAGGGGAGUGUGGAAUUCCUGGUGGAGCGGUGAAAUGCGCAGAUAUCAGGAGGAACACCCGUAGCGAAGGCGGCACUCUGGGCCGAUACUGACACUGAGGAGCGAAAGCGUGGGGAGCGAACAGG
rnacentral:rRNA from 1 species